UGCGUACUGAGAGGGAUAUCCGGAAUGAAAUGGUUCUCCAUGAGAGCCACAAGCGAACAUUCAACAACUUGAAAACUGGAUUGAAAAUGAGAGACAGAGCAGCCACUGCAGAAGCUUCCAAAAUCACUCUGCACUUUCUUGAACUGCUGCAAUCCACGUGGUGAUGUAGCUCCCAUGUUGCAAAUUGGAUGCUGUUCAGUUUCUGUCAACGUUCUGAGUCCUCGAAUUUCAACAGGACUGCCACUUCCAUACUAUCUUCAGAGCUUCUCUACCCCACCGUCAGCUCACAGCUGGGUCAGUGUCUUGUUGUUAUUGCAGCAAGUCCGUGAGGGUCUCCAAAAACGAACUUGACAUUUGGCGCAAGAGCAGGGUUCCAACAUGUACAGCAGUC